rnacentral:rRNA from 1 species
UCCAGACUCCUACGGGAGGCAGCAGUGGGGGAUAUUGCACAAUGGGGGGAACCCUGAUGCAGCGACGCCGCGUGGGUGAAGGAGCGUUUCGGCGCGUAAAGCCCUAUCGGCAGGGAAGAAGGAGGACGGUACCUGACUAAGAAGCACCGGCUAAAUACGUGCCAGCAGCCGCGGUAAUACGUAUGGUGCAAGCGUUAUCCGGAAUGACUGGGUGUAAAGGGAGCGUAGACGGUUGUACAAGUCUGAUGUGAAAGCCCACGGCUCAACUGUGGGAGUGCAUUGGAAACUGUAGAACUAGAGUAUCGGAGAGGCAAGUGGAAUUCCUAGUGUAGCGGUGAAAUGCGUAGAUAUUAGGAGGAACACCAGUGGCGAAGGCGGCUUGCCGGACGAAAACUGACGUUGAGGCUCGAAAGCGUGGGGAGCAAACAGGAUUAGAUACCCCUGUAC